rnacentral:rRNA from 1 species
UGGGGAAUAUUGCACAAUGGGCGCAAGCCUGAUGCAGCGACGCCGCGUGAGGGAUGACGGCCUUCGGGUUGUAAACCUCUUUCAAUAGGGACGAAGCGCAAGUGACGGUACCUAUAGAAGAAGGACCGGCCAACUACGUGCCAGCAGCCGCGGUAAUACGUAGGGUCCGAGCGUUGUCCGGAAUUACUGGGCGUAAAGAGCUCGUAGGUGGUUUGUCGCGUUGUUCGUGAAAACUCACAGCUUAACUGUGGGCGUGCGGGCGAUACGGGCAGACUAGAGUACUGCAGGGGAGACUGGAAGUUCCUGGUGUAGCGGUGGAAUGCGCAGAUAUCAGGAGGAACACCGGUGGCGAAGGCGGGUCUCUGGGCAGUAACUGACGCUGAGGAGCGAAAGCGUGGGGAGCGAACAGGAUUAGAUACCCUGGUAGUCCACGCCGUAAACGGUGGGUACUAGGUGUGGGUUUCCUUCCUUGGGAUCCGUGCCGUAGCUAACGCAUUAAGUACCCCGCCUGGGGAGUACGGCCGCAAGGCUAAAACUCAAAUGAAUUGAC